AUGCGCAUUGCAUGGCUACCCUUAAUCCUUACAAAAUCAAAAUCAAAAUCAAACACCUCACACUCUUUUCUUUACAAAAUUAUAAUCAGUGUUACACCAAAUUUCAAGGCUUUGAAUUUGGAACCAACCACCACCACCGAACACAAUAUCCACAAUACCCCUUCACAUGACAUUUGUCCUAACCAAAAAAACAUAGGAUUGUUUCUCAAGCCACCAAUCUUACCUCUUUUAAUGACAUUUGUAAACCAUUUCCACCCCAUAACUUAA